ensembl:lncRNA
GCGGCGGGACCGCGCCGGCUCCGAGCGCUCCGCGGGGCCGCGCCGGGGUCGCUCCGAGCCGGGACCCCGCCGCCAACCCGCGCCCAGCGCGGCCCCGGUCCCGGCAGCGCCGCCCGCUCUCCCGCCGGCAACGGGAUCCGACGCCGGGGGAGAAGCGGAGGCAGGGACUGGAGACAACGAAGUGAUCUCUGUGUCCUCACUGCCCUGCAGGGGCAGCUGAGAGAAAGCUUCCCUGUGGUGUGGUGCAGCCCGGGACACAGCAGUGAGCGGCCGAACUGAUGGGGUGACACUGUCCCGCUGCCAGCCUGGCCCCAUCCCAAUCCCACCGCCAGCACCAUGGCCAUCCCCUUUGUCCCCGGCCAAUGCCAGUAGGUGGAAGCUGCACACUCCAUUGCUGCCCUGGCAUUCCAAGCGUGAGACCAGGCUGUGGGACCUGCCGAUUCCUGCGGGACUGUGGCCAUGGCGGCUGCUCUCUCCACCGGAGCGAUUGUGGCAAUUUCUUUUAACUGUGUCAUUGUGUUGCUCAUCCUCAUCCUCUUCCUCAUCCUCUGCAAAGCCUGCAGGACCCCCUCAUGUCCCAAGAAGACCCCAGCUUCUGAUGUGGAUGAAUCAAGGAAUGAAGAGAAGUACCUGCUGCAGCCUUGAUCUGCCUGGGGACUGGGGUAUCCGGCUGUGUCAAAGGAGUUGCCAGACUGGAUGCCUGUGCUGCGACUCGAGUGCUGGACCAGGCACAAUGAAAGCUGAGGGGACACCCAACUGCUUACAGGGGCUGUGAUGGGGAGCACAGUCCUUUGCCUUUGUGGUUUUGGUGUGUGACGUUCCUGCGAGUGCCCACAGUGAUGAUGGGGAUAGAGGGACAACUAGGUGGGAUAUGCUAUAGGGACAGUCAUGCCUGUCCCAGCGGCCACUGAGCACAGUAAGAGCUCUGCCUUCAAGCGCACCCCUCGUUUGGGAAGAGCUUGUGUGCUCUUCUCUGGUGCUCAUGGCCUGGGACAGUGACACGAUGUGACAGACCUGAGCAAAGCUGGUUGGGCGUCUGGAGAAGGGAGGCAGCAGGACUGGCACAAGUGCUUCUUCCUGAGCAGGCUGGCUGCCCCAUGGCAGGGUAUGCCCAGGGAAACCUGAGCAGCCCCAGCCCUGCUGGCAGAGCAGGGUGUUGCCAGUCCAGAUGCGCGGGGGUGGCCCUGGGUGCCAUGUGCCCUCAGCCUCAGGUGGGCCUUUGGCAGAUGUCUGACCAAGCAGCGGAUUUAAUGAGGCACAAGAAGGCCUGCACGGUCUGCCUGAUCAUCCCCGGCCUGUCUGUCAGUCCCCUGCAGCAUUAGCACCAACGCUGCUAGGCAAACGACCCUCCUCCUCGCUGGGUGCAUAUCCCUGCCCUCCCCCCAGCCUGCUUCCAGCCGAGGUCAGCCGUAGUAUUCACCCUGCCUGUGAGCAGCAGAUGUGCCCUUGCAGGCACCCCUGGUCCCGCUGAGAGCAGCCUGGUGUGGGUUUUCCUGGGGAGAUGAGGGUGCCUGGACAAAUAGCUUUGAAAGUUCUUUGACCCUGCCUGUUCCCUGGGGAUCACAGUGGCUCUGUGGAGAGGGAUGCUGUCAUCUGGCUUGUCUGCAAGCCUGACAGCUGCAUCCCCUACCCUGCCAGUGGGUGCUGUGGGUUUUGGAGGGCUCUGCCUUGCCUUUCCUAGAGCUGAGCAAUAGCCACAGUCACCGCUGGCAUAGCCACUGCAAUAAGGGGACAGAAGGGUGGGGUGGGAGGGAUGCCAGUCAGGGUUCCUGCAGAGGCUUGGCCAAGCCUGGCAGAGCCUGUGGCUCCUCCCCGUGUCAGGUGUAGCAAACACAUCCCUUUGCAGCCUUGUUUUUACUAGACUAAUAAAUGGAUUGUAGGACCC